AACGUGGAUGCCUGGAGGCACUGGCGGCCGUUUGGAUGAAAUAGCGCUCUGUUUCCUUGGUUACAGGUGUUUGCCUUGGCUCUUUUCCGGAAAUCAACAGGCUCCUCUUGGAGCUUGAUGUACACACCUGUGUGUGAUAGACCAGGGUUCUCGGCCUUCCCCAAUCAAUAGAAAUUGGAGACGUUUGUUCAGGUGCAAGCAUUGCAGCACUGCAGGAAAUGGUCCCAGGUCCCAGUGUCUCAUGUGUAUACCUGGACUCAGAUAUUCAGGGACCAGUUGUUAUUCAUCUGGGAAUCCUCCAGGACGCUAGAAAGGUUGGUGGCAUGGAGUAAUACUGACUUUGGUAGACUGGAAAAUGGCCGCCCAAAUAUUUUCAUGCCAUAAUUCUCAGUUUUAUGCCUGUUUAAAUUACAUGGCAAAAGGGACUUUGCAGAUGGAAUUAAGGUUAUAGACCUUAAAUUAGGGAAGUUACCCAGAUGUGCCCAGUGUAAUCAAAUGGACCUUUAAAAGAAGGCAGAAGGGUCCAUCAUCAAUAAGAUUAUGGAAGAAGCAGGA